UACGUAGGGUGCAAGCGUUGUCCGGAAUUAUUGGGCGUAAAGAGUUCGUAGGCGGCUUGUCGCGUCCGUUGUGAAAGCCUGGGGCUCAACCCCAGGUCUGCAGUGGAUACGGGCAGGCUAGAGUCAGGUAGGGGAGAACGGAAUUCCUGGUGUAGCGGUGAAAUGCGCAGAUAUCAGGAGGAACACCGGUGGCGAAGGCGGCAUCCUGGACCGGUAUUGACGCUGAGGCGCGAAAGCUAGGGGAGCAAACGGG
rnacentral:rRNA from 1 species